UGGGGAAUAUUGGACAAUGGGCGCAAGCCUGAUCCAGCCAUGCCGCGUGAGUGAUGAAGGCCUUAGGGUUGUAAAGCUCUUUUAUCCGGGACGAUAAUGACGGUACCAGAGGAAUAAGCACCGGCUAACUCCGUGCCAGCAGCCGCGGUAAUACGGAGGGUGCGAGCGUUAUCCGGAUUUACUGGGUUUAAAGGGUGCGUAGGUGGGCUUAUAAGUCAGUGGUGAAAUCUCCGAGCUUAACUUGGAAACUGCCGUUGAUACUAUAGGUCUUGAAUUAUCUGGAGGUAAGCGGAAUAUGUCAUGUAGCGGUGAAAUGCUUAGAUAUGACAUAGAACACCAAUUGCGAAGGCAGCUUACUACAUAUAAAUUGACGCUGAGGCACGAAAGCGUGGGGAUCAAACA
rnacentral:rRNA from 1 species